ACACAUAUGCAGAGGGACACGUUUUGCCACACACAACCCUGAACUUCCUGAAAAUUUACGUUUACCAAAAAAAGCCAUUUGGAACAUAUUGCCAAACAACAUUUGGCAAUAAAGCUUUGAUGCGUUUGACACAGACAAAUUUUUGGUAACUUGCUAUUUGCUUCCUGUUGCUGCUGUUCUUCCUUCAGAAAUUCUACUUGUAGCCAAGUUAUUCACUACUGGCUCAAGCAUUUGCCUUCCUGGUAUUACCAGCACAUUCACAGAGGCAAGUAACUUAAUUGCUCUUCUACAAUUACCCAAACGACAAUUACAGCCAUGAAAGAGACGGUAAGGUCAGGCAGCAGAAUAGCUCUGCAGGCUGGCACCAGUCAAUAUUGCACUCUUUAAAAACAAACAACAACAAACAAAACCGUGACCCUGUAUCUUUUUUUUCUUCUUUCAGAGCUCACCCCUGUCUCAGCAUUUCGUCUUGUCAGAGCAUGAAGUGCAGGUGAUCUGUACCCUGACGACUUUUGCAUGUGAUGAAUGCCUGUUCAGAAACAGUCCAGAUCUGCAAGACUGGUGCUCAAAAAUGAACUACAGGGACACCACAUAUUCCUAAAAAUUCAGUUAUACAUAAAAAAAUAAAAUGUAUUUCCAACUUGCCCAUAAAAUCAGUAUGAAUGGAGAGAAGAGAA